AUGUACCACGAACACUCCGUGUCCUCUGCGCCGUCCGCACCCAACUGAUGGCGACUCGCUACGUUUUGUUAGCC
rnacentral:sRNA from 18 species